rnacentral:rRNA from 1 species
CCUACGGGUGGCAGCAGUGAGGAAUAUUGGUCAAUGGGCGCGAGCCUGAACCAGCCAAGUCGCGUGAGGGAAGACGGUCCUAUGGAUUGUAAACCUCUUUUGUCGGGGAGCAAAAGACGCCACGUGUGGCGUUCCGAGAGUACCCGAAGAAAAAGCAUCGGCUAACUCCGUGACAGCAGCCGCGGUAAUACGGAGGAUGCGAGCGUUAUCCGGAUUUGUUGGGGUUAAAGGGUGCGCAGGCGGAAGAUCAAGUCAGCGGUAAAAUUGAGAGGCUCAACCUCUUCGAGCCGUUGAAACUGGUUUUCUUGAGUGAGCGAGAAGUAUGCGGAAUGCGUGGUGUAGCGGUGAAAUGCAUAGAUAUCACGCAGAACUCCGAUUGCGAAGGCAGCAUACCGGCGCUCAACUGACGCUCAUGCACGAAAGUGUGGGUAUCGAACAGGAUUAGAUACCCUAGUAGUC